rnacentral:rRNA from 1 species
CGGAGUAAAAGCCCACCAAGGCGACGAUCGGUAGCUGGUCUGAGAGGGUGAUCGGCCACAUUGGAACUGAGACACGGUCCAAACUCCUACGGGAGGCAGCAGUGGGGAAUAUUGCACAAUGGGCGCAAGCCUGAUGCAGCAACGCCGCGUGAGCGAUGAAGGCCUUCGGGUCGUAAAGCUCUGUCCUAAGGGAAGAUAAUGACGGUACCUUAGGAGGAAGCCCCGGCUAACUACGUGCCAGCAG